UGUUCACAUGAUGAUGAAAUUGCCUAACAAUGCAGUUCUUGGAAUGUAUCCCCAUUGUUAAGCAGCAUAUGGCUGGACUCUAAUAUCCCAAUGACUCCUCAAAUCAGCUCUGCUCUAAUCUUAAAUACUGUUUGUUCAAAAAAUCAGAUGAACAUCUGCUUCUGGCCACCAUGAUGUAACAAGUACCAGAUUGACCGCUGAGACUUAAAACACUAAAAAACUUAAGGAAAACCUAUGAACCGAUGGCUUCCACAUUGGGCAAUAGGCAGCUUGAGAAAGUCAUCCCCGUGACAGGAGAGAGCUGAGAGAGAUGAAAUCUGGAGCAUUUGGGCAGGAAGACCCAGGAAUAGCUCAGAGAAGUCAGUGAAGCUGGUUCCUGACCGAUGCGGGAGAGCUGACAGGGGAGAGCUGUCCAGCAGAAGAAACCGCAAGUGCCAUGGGGCUCCAUCAGUCCUCUCCCUGUCUGCUGGGCUGCCGUGAGCAUGCAGUUGGAAGGCUCCUUCUGAAGGUGGAAAGUGGCGGGGUCUGAAAAUGGAACAGACAGCAAAUAAAUGCACAAACCUCUGUUUAUGUUUUUAUCAGUAAUACACAUUUAACAUGAUUUUGUUGAAUACCUACUAUUGAGACAGACAAAUGAACAAAAAAUUAAUAUCUUGUUCAAUUAUGUGGGCUGAUAAGUUAUACUAAAACAUAUUAAGUAUUAGACAUAAAGUGUUCUGGAACCUCAGAGGACUUCCCUUUCAGGAGGUCAUGGAAAGCUUCACAACAGUGAUUAUCAGGGCAGAUCCAAGUUUAGAGGGGUCUGAAGCUUU
rnacentral:lncRNA from 1 species